ACCACCGACCUUAUUAGCCNUGUCAGCCGCCGCGGAAUAUCCGGAGGGGACAAGCGUUAUUCGGAAAUCACUGGCGUAAAGGAACGCGUAGGCGGGUUAUUAAGUCGGGUGUGAAAUCCAAUGGCUCAACCAUUGAACUGCAUUCGAAACUGAUAACCUAGAGUAUGGAAGGGGGCAGGUGGAAUUAGUGGUGUAGGGGUAAAAUCCGUAGAUAUCACUAGGAAUACCGAAAGCGAAGGCGACCUGCUGGGACAUUACUGACGCUGAGGCGUGAAAGCGUGGGGAGCAAACAGGAUUAGAUACCCUGGUAGUCCACGCCCUAAACGAUGAAUGCUAGUCGUCGGGGAGCUCGUCUCUUCGGUGAUGCACUUAACAGAUUAAGCAUUCCGCCUGGGGAGUACGGUCGCAAGAUUAAAACUCAAAGGAAUAGACGGGGACCCGCACAAGUGGUGGAGCAUGUGGUUUAAUUCGAAGAUACGCGAAGAACCUUACCUAGCCUUGACAUUGAUUGAAUUUUCCAGAGAUGGAGAAGUGCCUUUCGGGGAACAUGAAAACAGGUGCUGCACGGCUGUCGUCAGCUCGUGUCGUGAGAUGUUGGGUUAAGUCCCGCAACGAGCGCAACCCUCGUCGUUAGUUGCUAACAGGUUAAGCUGAGCACUCUAGCGAGACUGCCUUCGCAAGGAGGAGGAAGGUGAGGACGACGUCAAGUCAUCAUGGCCCUUAUGGCUAGGGCUACACACGUGCUACAAUGGGGCGUACAGAGAGUUGCGAUACCGCGAGGUGGAGCCAAUCUCAUAAAGCGUCUCUCAGUUCGGAUUGUUCUCUGCAACUCGAGAACAUGAAGCUGGAAUCACUAGUAAUCGUAGAUCAGCAAUGCUACGGUGAAUACGUUCCCGGGUC
rnacentral:rRNA from 1 species